rnacentral:rRNA from 1 species
GAUGAACGCUGGCGGCGUGCCUAAUACAUGCAAGUCGAGCGAACAGACGAGGAGCUUGCUCCUCUGACGUUAGCGGCGGACGGGGGAGGAACACGUGGAUAACCUACCUAUAAGACUGGGUUAACUUCGGGAAACCGGAGCUAAUACCGGAUAAUAUAUUGAACCUCAUGGUUCAAUAGUGAAAGACGGUUUUGCUGUCACUUAUAGAUGGAUCCGCGCCGGAUUAGCUAGUUGGUAAGGUAACGGCUUACCAAGGCGACGAUGCGUAGCCGACCUGAGAGGGUGAUCGGCCACACUGGAACUGAGACAAGGUCCAGAAUCCUACGGGAGGAAGCAGUAGGGAAUCUUCCGCAAUGGGCGAAAGCCUGACGGAGCAACGCCGCGUGAGUGAUGAAGGUCUUCGGAUCGUAAAACUCUGUUAUUAGGGAAGAACAAAUGUGUAAGUAACUAUGCACGUCUUGACGGUACCUAAUCAGAAAGCCACGGCUAACUACGUG